rnacentral:rRNA from 1 species
UACGUAGGCAGCAAGCGUUGUUCGGAGUUACUGGGCGUAAAGUGUGCGCAGGCGGCUCCGCAAGUCGAGUGUGAAAUCCCCGAGCUUAACUUGGGAAUUGCGCUCGAAACUAGGGAGCUGGAGUGUGGCAGAGGAAGGUGGAAUUCCACGUGUAGAGGUGAAAUUCGUAGAUAUUCGGAGGAACACCAGUGGCGAAGGCGGCUCACUGGUCCAUUACUGACGCUGAGGUGCGAAAGCGUGGGGAGCAAACAGG